rnacentral:rRNA from 1 species
UACGUAGGGUGCAAGCGUUAAUCGGAAUUACUGGGCGUAAAGCGUGCGCAGGCGGUGAUGUAAGACAGGUGUGAAAUCCCCGGGCUUAACCUGGGAACUGCAUUUGUGACUGCAUCGCUGGAGUGCGGCAGAGGGGGAUGGAAUUCCGCGUGUAGCAGUGAAAUGCGUAGAUAUGCGGAGGAACACCGAUGGCGAAGGCAGCCUCCUGGGCCAACACUGACGCUCAUGCACGAAAGCGUGGGGAGCAAACAGG